UCCAGACUCCUACGGGAGGCAGCAGUGAGGAAUAUUGGUCAAUGGCCGCAGGGCUGAACCAGCCAAGUCGCGUGAGGGAUGACGGUCCUAUGGAUUGUAAACCUCUUUUGUCAGGGAGCAAAGGGCGCCACGUGUGGCGCUUUGCGAGUACCUGAAGAAAAAGCAUCGGCUAACUCCGUGCCAGCAGCCGCGGUAAUACGGAGGAUGCGAGCGUUAUCCGGAUUUAUUGGGUUUAAAGGGUGCGUAGGCGGACAGUCAAGUCAGCGGUAAAAAUGCGGUGCUCAACGCCGUACAGCCGUUGAAACUGGCAGUCUUGAGUGGGCGAGAAGUAUGCGGAAUGCGUGGUGUAGCGGUGAAAUGCAUAGAUAUCACGCAGAACUCCGAUUGCGAAGGCAGCAUACCGGCGCCCGACUGACGCUGAGGCACGAAAGCGUGGGUAUCGAACAGGAUUAGAUACCCCAGUAC
rnacentral:rRNA from 1 species